UAAGCAAGUAAUCUGAACUGGAAUUUAGUCGCCCGAUAAUCCUGGAUUAACAGCAAAAUUAGAGGUCAGAGUUGGAUAGCUAGGAAAGAGAAGAGCCAGCAUGCGCUGCAGCUCUGAGCAUCUGGGAACAGUUGCUAGACAGGAAAGCGUAGCUGGAGAGCUCGGCUGGGAAGGUGCAUCCUUUUACAAGUCUUCUGUCUCUAAAACGCAGUUGUACAGAAGAUCGAAAGGACUCAAGCUCCGCUGAGAAUAGUCAGGACUAAAUGGAGGGUCGUUGCCUAGGGAAGCAGUGUGGUCUUGGAGAGUCCAAAGACUUGGCCAAAGAGGGCUUUUGGAGAGAGAGUGGAAACUUCUCCGUGCGACAGCUAGCGCUACAGUCAACUCCUUUGCGCAGGACUUGGGACUGUGGCUCAUCCUGCACUCCCAACAGAAGACAUCGUUGUCGUCUACGUUGUCGUCGCUGUCAUCAUCAUCAUCAUCAUGAGCGUAUACAGUACAGUACCUCAAAGUUUUAACCAGAAGGUGGGGCUCU